AUGGAUAUGGAGAUCGCGACUACCGGCGACGAAGAAGUAGACUUCUUGUCGGAUCCANNNNNNNNNNNNNNNNNNNNNNNNNNNNNNNNNNNNNNNNNNGUGCUCGCCCAUGGCAGAAGCCAAGCUGUAGUAUGCGAACCUGCUGAAUCCAUCAUUGGCGAAGCGGGGGACGCCGUACUAGCAGUGGAAAAUGACUUGAACAACACAUGUCAGGGGAUUGCCCUCUCUGCGCCAGCCUCCGAGCAAUCUACGGGGAAAGACGACCCUCAAGCCCCUGCCUGGGUGAGAAGAAUCCGUGUUGAGAGGAGUGCGCUGGAACUAACAAUACGAAGCUAUGCAGAAAAGAAAACUGAAACGGUCAUAGUUCCUGCUAUGGGAGGCAGUUUUGAUACGCUUGGGGAAGCUUAUGAUUACUACAAUCUAUAUUCAUGGGAGGGAAUUCCAAAGAAGGGUAACAAACGAACAUGCCGAUGCAGAUGCCCCGCAAUGAUACGAUUGCUCCGGUCAUCUGACAAUGGCUGCUUCUUCGGGUCAAUGACCAAUAUACCAUUCACCAAAAGAGCUCUCCGAGGUUUGUGUGGCAAGAUGAGUCGAGAACAAGCCGAUAAUGAUGUGAAAAAGACAAUGGAUGUUUUUGCAGAGUUGGGAGCAAAAGAUUCAGGCUUGUACUACAGGGUGCAACCUGAUGUUUUUGCAGAGUUGGGAGCAAAAGUUUCAGAGUUGAGCUUGUCGGCGGCCGAUUCGCAGCUAUCAACAGGAAAAGAUGACCCGCAAGCCCCCGGGUGGACAAAAAGGGUUCGUAUUGGACGAGCCCCUAUCGAGCGUGCACCUUGUGCUGGAAGAGUGUGUGCCCUUGAAAAAACAUUAAGUGGAUAUGCAGAGAACAAAACUGAUACCAUUGUGGUAUCAGUUGUUGGAUACAACUUCGAUUCAUUGGGAGAAGCAUACGACUUCUACAAUCUAUAUCCGUGGGAAAUUGGUUUCGGAAUAAGAUACGGAAAAAGCAGACUCAAUGUCGAGAGAACCAAAUAUAUGCAGGAGAUAGUGCGUGGAUUCUCGGCCAUGCGCGGGGAUGCAAACAGCAAACUGUACCCAUGUAGCUUGAUUUUUGAAUCAUUUUGGAGCGCCCGCCCAGCAAAGCCUGUACUUAAUAGCAAGGAAUCAGUUCAUGGGAGGGCUGAUGGCUUUGUCAAUGGGGGGAUGGAGAUAGAGGCGGAUCAUAUUGGAAUCAUGCUACUCGGUGGUGCAGGUUUCGAUCUAAACGCAGCCCUUGUGGUUCUCUGGAAGCUAGCAAAGAUUGAUGCUUUAACAAAAGAGGAAUCUUUAGUGUCUCCAUAUCCUUCAUAUUUAAAAAGAUCAUAA
rnacentral:rRNA from 1 species